UUACGGUCAUAUCACGUUGAAACACCGGUUCUCGUGCGAAGUUAAGCAACGUCGCAUAUGGUCAGUACCAAGAUGAGUGACCGCUUGCGAAUACCAGGUACUAU